rnacentral:rRNA from 1 species
AAAAGGUAACGGAGGCGCUCAAAGGUUCUCUCAGUACGGUCGGAAAUCGUACGUAGAGUGUAAAGGCAAAAGAGGGCUUGAUUGCAAGACAUACAGGUCGAGCAAGGAUGAAAAUCGGACUUAGUGAGCCGGUGGUUCUGCGUGGAAGGGCCAUCGCUCAACGGAUAAAAGCUACCCUGGGGAUAACAGGCUUAUCUCCCCC